rnacentral:rRNA from 1 species
CCUACGGGAGGCUGCAGUGGGGAAUAUUGGACAAUGGGCGAAAGCCUGAUCCAGCCAUGCCGCGUGUGUGAAGAAGGCCUUCGGGUUGUAAAGCACUUUCAGUGGGGAAGAAAGCCUUGGGGCUAAUACCCUCGAGGAAGGACAUCACCCACAGAAGAAGCACCGGCUAACUCCGUGCCAGCAGCCGCGGUAAUACUGAGGGUGCGAGCGUUAAUCGGAAUUACUGGGCGUAAAGCGCGCGUAGGCGGUCUGAUAAGCCGGUUGUGAAAGCCCCGGGCUCAACCUGGGAACGGCAUCCGGAACUGUCAGGCUAGAGUGCAGGAGAGGAAGGUAGAAUUCCCGGUGUAGCGGUGAAAUGCGUAGAGAUCGGGAGGAAUACCAGUGGCGAAGGCGGCCUUCUGGACUGACACUGACGCUGAGGUGCGAAAGCGUGGGUAGCAAACAGGAUUAGAUACCCGAGUAGUC